GGGGAUUUAGCUCAGUGGCAUGAGUACCUGCCUUGCAAGCAGGUAGUUGUGAGUUCCAUCCCUG
rfam:Cavia porcellus supercont2_43 genomic scaffold, whole genome shotgun sequence.